rnacentral:lncRNA from 1 species
UGCAGGUUGGAAGCCCAAAAGAAAAUUGUUUGCUCCUGCCUUUGGGUGACGCCUCACUCCCUGCUCCUGGCCCGCCAACAGGGCUGGGGAUGAUAAAAGCCAAGGCGGCAGGUUUUUCUCCCAGGCUCCGUGUGGGCUGCCGGGUUACCUGUUGGCACGUCAAUGGGCGAGGCUGGCAGCCAGGGACUUCCUUGUCCGGACUGCCGGUGAGGGAGCGCCUUCAGCGGGGAACGGGCAAAAGGAGAGGAAAGAGGGGAAUAAAGACUAAGCUAUCGCUCAGGAGUCCAAAUCCAGCCAAGGAGGAAAAGCAUCUCCAGAGCUCCCUGCGUGUGUUCCAGCCCUAACCCUCCCCUGGCAUCACUGGACGUGGACACAGAAGUAUAUGCAGGUCAGUAUAGCAAUCAUCUCUUCUUCCGAGUGUAAUAUUCGCUUUG